CCGGGCGUGGCGGGGCAGGCGGCAGCGCUCGAGGGCCUCGAGCGCCCGCGCGGCCCAGGCGCGCUGUUCGGGGUCGCCGUGCUCGAG
rnacentral:tRNA from 1 species